rfam:Glycine soja cultivar W05 scaffold4608_55, whole genome shotgun sequence.
GUGUAAAUGACGAGUUACUUGGGUUCCCCUUCGAGACAUCAAGGAUGAUGCAGACCUGAUUUUCGGAUGCA